rnacentral:rRNA from 1 species
GAUAAACGCUGGCGGCGUGCCUAAUCAAUGCGAGUCGAACGGGGCUGCUUUCGGGCAGUCCAGUGGCGUCCGGGUGAGUAACGCGUAGCUAACCUACCUGUUCGUGGGGGAUACCCGCCAGAAAUGGCGGCUAAUACCGCAUAGCCUGACUGGGAGCGAUCCGAGGCAGGAAAGCCGCAAGGCGCGAACAGAGGGGGCUGCGUCCGAUUAGCUAGUCGGUGGGGUAACGGCCUACCGAGGCGACGAUCGGUAGCUGGUCUGAGAGGAUGGUCAGCCACACUGGGACUGAGACAUGGGUCCAGAGCUCUACGGGGUUUAGCAUGAAGGGAUAUUGCGCAAUGGGCGAAAGCCUGACGCAGCAACGCCGCGUGUGGGACGACGCCUC